AGGGGAGUGAAAAAGAACCUGAAACCGUGUACGUACAAGCAGUGGGAGCACAGAGCAAUCUGUGUGACUGCGUACCUUUUGUAUAAUGGGUCAGCGACUUAUAUUCUGUAGCAAGGUUAACCGAAUAGGGGAGCCGAAGGGAAACCGAGUCUUAACUGGGCGUUAAGUUGCAGGGUAUAGACCCGAAACCCGGUGAUCUAGCCAUGGGCAGGUUGAAGGUUGGGUAACACUAACUGGAGGACCGAACCGACUAAUGUUGAAAAAUUAGCGGAUGACUUGUGGCUGGGGGUGAAAGGCCAAUCAAACCGGGAGAUAGCUGGUUCUCCCCGAAAGCUAUUUAGGUAGCGCCUCGUGAAUUCAUCUCCGGGGGUAGAGCACUGUUUCGGCAAGGGGGUCAUCCCGACUUACCAACCCGAUGCAAACUGCGAAUACCGGAGAAUGUUAUCACGGGAGACACACGGCGGGUGCUAACGUCCGUCGUGAAGAGGGAAACAACCCAGACCGCCAGCUAAGGUCCCAAAGUCAUGGUUAAGUGGGAAACGAUGUGGGAAGGCCCAGACAGCCAGGAUGUUGGCUUAGAAGCAGCCAUCAUUUAAAGAAAGCGUAAUAGCUCACUGGUCGAGUCGGCCUGCGCGGAAGAUGUAACGGGGCUAAACCAUGCACCGAAGCUGCGGCAGCGACACUGUGUGUUGUUGGGUAGGGGAGCGUUCUGUAAGCCUGUGAAGGUGUGCUGUGAGGCAUGCUGGAGGUAUCAGAAGUGCGAAUGCUGACAUAAGUAACGAUAAAGCGGGUGAAAAGCCCGCUCGCCGGAAGACCAAGGGUUCCUGUCCAACGUUAAUCGGGGCAGGGUGAGUCGACCCCUAAGGCGAGGCCGAAAGGCGUAGUCGAUGGGAAACAGGUUAAUAUUCCUGUACUUGGUGUUACUGCGAAGGGGGGACGGAGAAGGCUAUGUUGGCCGGGCGACGGUUGUCCCGGUUUAAGCGUGUAGGCUGGUUUUCCAGGCAAAUCCGGAAAAUCAAGGCUGAGGCGUGAUGACGAGGCACUACGGUGCUGAAGCAACAAAUGCCCUGCUUCCAGGAAAAGCCUCUAAGCAUCAGGUAACAUCAAAUCGUACCCCAAACCGACACAGGUGGUCAGGUAGAGAAUACCAAGGCGCUUGAGAGAACUCGGGUGAAGGAACUAGGCAAAAUGGUGCCGUAACUUCGGGAGAAGGCACGCUGAUAUGUAGGUGAAGUCCCUCGCGGAUGGAGCUGAAAUCAGUCGAAGAUACCAGCUGGCUGCAACUGUUUAUUAAAAACACAGCACUGUGCAAACACGAAAGUGGACGUAUACGGUGUGACGCCUGCCCGGUGCCGGAAGGUUAAUUGAUGGGGUCAGCGCAAGCGAAGCUCUUGAUCGAAGCCCCGGUAAACGGCGGCCGUAACUAUAACGGUCCUAAGGUAGCGAAAUUCCUUGUCGGGUAAGUUCCGACCUGCACGAAUGGCGUAAUGAUGGCCAGGCUGUCUCCACCCGAGACUCAGUGAAAUUGAACUCGCUGUGAAGAUGCAGUGUACCCGCGGCAAGACGGAAAGACCCCGUGAACCUUUACUAUAGCUUGACACUGAACAUUGAGCCUUGAUGUGUAGGAUAGGUGGGAGGCUUUGAAGUGUGGACGCCAGUCUGCAUGGAGCCGACCUUGAAAUACCACCCUUUAAUGUUUGAUGUUCUAACGUGGACCCGUGAUCCGGGUUGCGGACAGUGUCUGGUGGGUAGUUUGACUGGGGCGGUCUCCUCCUAAAGAGUAACGGAGGAGCACGAAGGUUGGCUAAUCCUGGUCGGACAUCAGGAGGUUAGUGCAAUGGCAUAAGCCAGCUUGACUGCGAGCGUGACGGCGCGAGCAGGUGCGAAAGCAGGUCAUAGUGAUCCGGUGGUUCUGAAUGGAAGGGCCAUCGCUCAACGGAUAAAAGGUACUCCGGGGAUAACAGGCUGAUACCGCCCAAGAGUUCAUAUCGACGGCGGUGUUUGGCACCUCGAUGUCGGCUCAUCACAUCCUGGGGCUGAAGUAGGUCCCAAGGGUAUGGCUGUUCGCCAUUUAAAGUGGUACGCGAGCUGGGUUUAGAACGUCGUGAGACAGUUCGGUCCCUAUCUGCCGUGGGCGCUGGAGAACUGAGGGGGGCUGCUCCUAGUACGAGAGGACCGGAGUGGACGCAUCACUGGUGUUCGGGUUGUCAUGCCAAUGGCACUGCCCGGUAGCUAAAUGCGGAAGAGAUAAGUGCUGAAAGCAUCUAAGCACGAAACUUGCCCCGAGAUGAGUUCUCCCUGACCCUUUAAGGGUCCUGAAGGAACGUUGAAGACGACGACGUUGAUAGGCCGGGUGUGUAAGCGCAGCGAUGCGUUGAGCUAACCGGUACUAAUGAACCGUGAGGCUUAACCUUACAACGCCGAAGGUGUUU
rnacentral:rRNA from 1 species